rnacentral:rRNA from 1 species
UCGAGAAUCUUCCGCAAUGGGCGCAAGCCUGACGGAGCGACGCCGCGUGGAGGAAGAAGGCCUUCGGGUUGUAAACUCCUGUCACGACUUACGAAAGCGCGAGGCGUAACAACCCCGCGUCGACGAAGGGUCGGAAGGAAGCCACAGCUAACUUCGUGCCAGCAGCUGCGGUAAGACGAAGGUGGCAAGCGUUGUUCGGAUUCACUGGGCAUAAAGGGCGCGUAGGCGGUUCCGCAAGUGGCGUGUGAAAGCCCCCGGCUCAACCGGGGAAGUGCACGCCAGACUGCGGUUCUAGAGGGCGGUAGGGGGGACUGGAACUCUCGGUGGAGCGGUGAAAUGCGUAGAUAUCGAGAGGAACACCGGCGGCGAAGGCGAGUCCCUGGUCCGCAUCUGACGCUGAGGCGCGAAAGCGUGGGUAGCAAACAGGAUUAGAUACCCCCGUAGUCC